GACGAACGCUGGCGGCGUGCUUAACACAUGCAAGUCGAACGGUGAAGCUCCAGCUUGCUGGAGUGGAUCAGUGGCGAACGGGUGAGUAACACGUGAGCAACCUGCCCCUGACUCUGGAAUAAGCGCUGGAAACGGCGUCUAAUACUGGAUACGAGAAGGGUCCGCAUGGGCACCUUCUGGAAAGUUUUUCGGUUGGGGAUGGGCUCGCGGCCUAUCAGCUUGUUGGUGAGGUAAUGGCUCACCAAGGCGACGACGGGUAGCCGGCCUGAGGGCGACCGGCCACACUGGGACUGAGACACGGCCCAGACUCCUACGGGAGGCAGCAGUGGGGAAUAUUGCACAAUGGGCGAAAGCCUGAUGCAGCGACGCCGCGUGAGGGAUGACGGCCUUCGGGUUGUAAACCUCUUUCAGCAGGGAAGAAGCGAAAGUGACGGUACCUGCAGAAGAAGCACCGGCUAACUACGUG
rnacentral:rRNA from 1 species